rnacentral:rRNA from 1 species
CCUACGGGAGGCAGCAGUGGGGAAUCUUGCACAAUGGAGGAAACUCUGAUGCAGCGAUGCCGCGUGAGUGAAGAAGGCCUUUGGGUUGUAAAGCUCUUUUGUAGGGGAAGAUAAUGACUGUACCCUAAGAAUAAGGUCCGGCUAACUUCGUGCCAGCAGCCGCGGUAAUACGAAGGGACCUAGCGUAGUUCGGAAUUACUGGGCGUAAAGCGCGCGUAGGCCGUUGAGUUAGUUAAUUGUGAAAUCCCAAAGCUUAACUUUGGAACUGCAAUUAAAACUGCUCGACUAGAGUUUGAUAGAGGAAAGCGGAAUACAUAGUGUAGAGGUGAAAUUCGUAGAUAUUAUGUAGAACACCAGUUGCGAAGGCGGCUUUCUGGAUCAACACUGACGCUGAGGCGCGAAAGUAUGGGUAGCAAAGAGGAUUAGAUACCCUCGUAGUCCAUACCAUAAACGAUGAUNNUANAUGUAGUAAUUAUUUACUAUAU